rfam:Plasmodiophora brassicae isolate e3 genome assembly, contig: scaffold_33
GGGGGGUUGGCGCAGCUGGCAGCGCGUGGGAUUCCAGACCCCAAGGUCAUGCGUUCAAAUCGCAUACCCCUCA